rnacentral:rRNA from 1 species
GACGAACGCUGGCGGCGUGCUUAACACAUGCAAGUCGAGCGGAAAGGCCCUGCUUUUGUGGGGUGCUCGAGUGGCGAACGGGUGAGUAACACGUGAGUAACCUGCCCUUGACUUUGGGAUAACUUCAGGAAACUGGGGCUAAUACCGGAUAGGAGCUCCUGCUGCAUGGUGGGGGUUGGAAAGUUUCGGCGGCUGGGGAUGGACUCGCGGCUUAUCAGCUUGUUGGUGGGGUAGUGGCUUACCAAGGCUUUGACGGGUAGCCGGCCUGAGAGGGUGACCGGCCACAUUGGGACUGAGAUACGGCCCAGACUCCUACGGGAGGCAGCAGUGGGGAAUAUUGCGCAAUGGGCGGAAGCCUGAUGCAGCAACGCCGCGUGCGGGAUGACGGCCUUCGGGUUGUAAACCGCUUUCGCCUGUGACGAAGCGUGAGUGACGGUAAUGGGUAAAGAAGCACCGGCUAACUACGUG